rnacentral:rRNA from 1 species
UAAAAGUCGUAACAAGGUAACCGUAGGUGAACCUGCGGUUGGAUCAUUACCAAUCCUUGGCUCGCAAGAGCCAUCUACACCAUGUGCACUUGUAAUUGUUUCUGGGUGGCCUUAUGGCUGCCCAAACUUAUAAACUCUACUAUUUGUCUGAUGUAUAAUAUAAUACAAAAACAACUUUUGACAACGGAUCUCUUGGUUCUCGCAACGAUGAAGAACGCAGCGAAAUGCGAUACGUAGUGUGAAUUGCAGAAUUUCGUGAAUCAUCGAAUCUUUGAACGCACCUUGCACUCUGUUUCGGCAGAGUAUGCCUGUUUGAGAAUCUUAAGACCUCUUCACUCCCUCUUGGGGGAGCGAGAUUUGGGCUCUUUCACUCAUCGUGAAUGGCUUUAAACACAUUGCUUGGAUCGCAGCAUCAAAUGUGCAAAAUACCAAAGUGUAUGAAGGGUACGCCCAACUUCCUUUGAUAUGGAGCACAAGCUGAGGUUGGAGCUCAACUAUUAAAGCUUCGGCUUGAAAUUUGGUCUCAAAUCAGGUAGGAAGACCCGCUGAACUUAAGCAUAUCAAUAAGCGGA